AACAAUGAAUCCAUCCAACAUGCAUUUGGGUGGAUUCCACCUCCGUGAUGGCAAGCAGACUCUAUGGGCCCCCACAACGUAUGUGCAGAGUAGCAAAUAUGGAUGCAAUCUACAGGCACCAGACUGUCCAGGAAAGCCAGGCAUUCAUUCCAACUUCUACUGCGCACCUACCAGGAGCAGGGAAAGAAACAAAGAAGAAAGCAAAGACCCUACUUCAGAGGAGGCAACAGGCUAAUAAGAUCAACAAAACGAACAAAAUGCAAAGUGUAAAAUACCUCCGGGGAAGCGUCUAUAAAGUGCCACAGAGAGAAGGGUUAGCCUUCAGUGUGUAAAUAAAACACACACUGCUUUUUAACGACACAGUUCACGGACACAUUCAGAAGGAGGGAAGGAAGGAGCAAGGGAGAAGAGGGCCAGGGAAGGCCACUGUGUCGCAGAUCCAUUUCCAAAGAUCCAUGCCAAGGACUCUUCCUCUGGGGAUGCCUGAACUGACCGUGUUCCGGACUCAACACUCCUGCCUCCCACAGCCAUCUGAAGCAGGGAGAUGGCGCUUCCCAAAGUCAUCAUCCACAGAGCCAAGUCACAACCCUUCAUCCAAAGAGGAUCCCCGCUACCACCAGUGUGUGAAAGCCUCUGACAAUGAGUUUCCCCAAAGAGGACAAACUGAAUCUUCUCCUAAUGAAUGUGAG